rnacentral:lncRNA from 1 species
GUCACUUGCUUAAAAUUAGAAGACGAUUAUGACUAUUAAUCCAUGUAUAUAUAUCUUGUUAAUCCUACCGUGUUAUCAAGAAAAUAUAUUACAAUUCUUUCAUUUUAAAUUUUAUGUUUUCAUCAUUAUUCUACUUAGUAUCAAGAGCGUUUGUUUUUUUCGAUAAAUAAUGGGCAUAACUUUUCGAUUGUGGAGUUCCAUUUCAAACCUUUCAUUAAAGGAAAGGGCCUCCUUGGAAUUAUGGAUUGAUCAAAGGAGGUACCCGCAGAAGAUAAAGAAAAAAAAGCUUGGUAUGCUGACAAUGGAAAUAUUAUCACAUGGCUAGUCAAAUCUGUCUUUGUAGAUAUAGCUACGGAAUUGACAUUGUUUGAGAAAGCAUCAGAAAUGUUGAGUAAGCUACAUAAACUCGGUAACCAAAAAAAUCUGGCUAGAGAAUUAGAAUUAAAAACUACUUGCGGAAUCUACACAAGGUGAGAAAAAUGUUUGUUCUUUUUAAUCUGUAUUACGUACAUUAUGGACAGAGCAAGAUCAGGUUUUUUCUGCCUGCAUCCCUGUGGAUGGAUUGAACUUAGAAGGACUUCAUGGCUACAAAGAAAAGAACAAGGAUUGUACAAUUUCUAAUGAAAAUCAGGCCUGAGUCAAAGUAUUUGUGUGCUAAUAAUAUUAACAAUAAAAACUACAAGCUUUGUAUGUGGUAGUUUGUGAUGUCCUAGAAGAUACUCGAUUAAGUUCUCAAGCUUCUAUGGAGAACUCCCUUACAAUGGAAAUUGCCAUAGCUGCAUACAAAGAAUCAUCUUUCUCAAGCAACUCCAACAAGCCUAUUCAAUGCAAUCAUACAAGGAAAAGGAAAUAAAAUGUCCAAAGCUGAAUGCGGAGAUUUUAAGCGAAGAAAUGCAGAAGAGACCACUUACGGAGCUUAUGACGGUCCGUCGUGCUUGUGACGGUACAUAGGUGGCAGCUUAGUGCAGUUGUUGAAGGAAGAUGGGGAAGUCUGACCAUGUGUGGGGUUUUUAAGCUUGUGACGGUCCGUCGUGUCUAUGACGGUCCAUCCUACAGGUUCAUCAUGAAGAUAAGAGAAGUAAUCCCAGUACCUCUAUUCCGAGAGAUGAAGUGUUUUGGAACGAAGGCCCUCGACGAACUGUUGUGCCUAUGACGGUCUGUCAUACUUGCCGUCGAGGGUAAUGAAGAAGAGCAGCAGAAGAAAUUGCACAAGUAUGGGACAACGGAGUCCAUGACGGUCCGUUGUGACCAUGAUUAGAUUGUUAGACUUUUAAUUGUUAGACUUUUGAUUAUCAUUAGACUUUUUGUGAUAUUAUUGAUUACUUUGAGAUUCUUGCAAGUGAUUUUUGGUGAUUAAUCAAGCACAGUUUCGGA